rnacentral:tRNA from 1 species
GGAGAGAUGGCAGAGUGGUCGAAUGCGGCGGUCUUGAAAACCGUUGUACCGAGAGGUACCGGGGGUUCGAAUCCCUCUCUCUCCGCCA